CAGGGCUAAAUGACUCUGUGUUGAACACACAUGUGCCUGGUGCAGUUAACGUUCUUGGAACCCCCAACGCAGCUGCAAUGUGGCCGAGAAACAGAUAUCAAGACAUGAAAGAGGUCAAAUGAAAGCAAGAGGGGGACAAGGAGGAGAAUGAUCUAGGACCAGCUUUUCAAAGGACCCAGCACCAAUGUAAUUGGCCAGAUUUUCCAAAGAACUCAGCACACGGAUUGCAAACUGGGGGCUCAGCACAUCAGGUGUGAGUGUCACCAAGGAAGUUGCUGGAUGCUGAACACUGGAAAAUCUGGCCCUUGUUUUGUUGCCUAAAUGGGAGUUUCAUGCAGACAAUGAAGAAUCUCUGGGCCCUACAGCAACACUAGCAGGAAUGGACAUGUUUAAAACAAGCGCUGGACUGGGACCAAACGCAGUCUGGGCGACACCAAAUUAUCCUGAGGCAGAGGCAGAGCCCGCAGCUGCUGACUGCAGGCUAGGUGGGAAGAUGAUCCCAGACCCAAGGGGGCCCUGCCAGCUGUUUCCAUAUCUGCAGCCUCUCCCUGGCCAGGCUGCACCCAGACAUUUUGUUGAGCUGUCGCAACGUCAGCUGAAGCCACCCACAGUUUCUG